GCUGGCCAGUACGGGAGCAUUGCUUCUAAAUAUUACAAACUUUGGAGAAGAAGUGUUGACGUCAACGAAAAAUUACAAACUAAGUUGGACAACAGGGCAAGCACUAAAAAGGUAUACUCAAUUUUUAAUACAAAUACAUUUCAUCAAUCCUUUUAUUAAUGCACCGAUUGAUUUUAAGCCCCUGGGUGAGACGGUCGGGCAUUUGAUUUUCCAUGCAAUUUUCUCUAACAUGGGGAAGCAAAUAUCAGUCAAAUGUGAUCAAAUGCCCCAUUGUUGGGCACAUAAAUUUGUGUCGAAAGGCUUGAAAGUCGUUUGUCCCAGUCCUCAACUUGUGCUCUUCCUCAGGAUACAAGAUGGUGCUCAAUUCAAAUAUCCCCACCCUCUGGAGAUGGUGUCGAUCAAAUUCCUGAGGGUGGGGAAACAAAAAUCCAUUAAAUGCCCUACAUAUGCCCGAUCUUCACUUAGGGCGUAGCAUUUAAAUAUGCAUAAAUAUAACUACAGUAUAUAAACACUGUAAACCUCUGAUAAUAAGCCCCCCCCCCGAAUACCCCCGUACAAGCCCAUCGCAUUACUGAAAUUCACACCAUUCCAAAUAUAUGCCCCCCCCCCACAUUUGUUUAUCACUAUUAUACACUAACACAAAAAUCACUAUUACACCAACACAAAAUGUUGUCCAUGGGUAAGCCCCCCCCCCCUAUAUAAGCUCCCCUGUGUAUAAGCCCAUCAAAAACAUGUACAAACGAAUAUAAGCCCAGGGCUCAUAUUCGGAGGUUUACAGUGUGUCCAUAUCCAUAUGCCAUUACCUAUAUUUAUACAGCUAAUUCAGAAAAGGUUGUCCUUUGCAAACCUUAAACUUGAAACCUUAAACUCUAAACGUGCAAAGCAUAAUGGGAGGCCAAGCAUCAUUUAAUCUGUUUAUAAAUCAUAGAUGGGGCCUAUUUCUUAGAGACAUGGUGAACAUCUCCUUACGAGAACAAUUCAUUCACAAAUAGCUGCAAUAUUCAAAUACUAUAAGCUUGAAAGCUGAAACUUGUGCUCCCAUUAAGCUUUGCACACUUAGAGUUUAAGGUUUGGAAAGGACACCUUUUUUGAUUUGGCUAUACAGGUAUAUAUAUUCAUUUCCUUUGCCUGGAAGCCUCAUUCUUAUGAGUCAAGAUGAAAGGCAAUUUAACCAAUUUGCUUACGAUUUUUGAGAAUGAGACUUCCUGCCAAGAAGAGAAUCAUGACAUACUGUAAACUAUAUCAAAGGGUUUGUUGGUCACACACUAUUAGCUUGCUCAAAA